rnacentral:rRNA from 1 species
UAGUCCACGCCCUAAACGAUGCUUACUCGCUGUUUGGAUUUAAUCUGAGCGGCUAAGGGAAACCAUUAAGUAAGCCACCUGGGGAGUACGUUCGCAAGAAUGAAACUCAAAGGAAUUGACGGGGCCCGCACAAGCGGUGGAGCAUGUGGUUUAAUUCGAUGAUACGCGAGGAACCUUACCAGGGCUUAAAUGUAGUCUGACAGCUUUAGAGAUAGAGUUUUCUUCGGACAGAUUACAAGGUGCUGCAUGGUUGUCGUCAGCUCGUGCCGUGAGGUGUCAGGUUAAGUCCUAUAACGAGCGCAACCCCUAUUUUCAGUUGCCAGCGAGUAAUGUCGGGGACUCUGGAAAAACUGCCACCGUAAGGUGAGAGGAAGGUGGGGAUGACGUCAAAUCAUCACGGCCCUUACGUCCUGGGGCUACACACGUGCUACAAUGGCCGGUACAGAGGGGCAGCCAUCCCGCGAGGGAGAGCGAAUCUCCAAAACCGGUCUCAGUUCGGAUUGAAGUCUGCAACUC